CCUUUGUUUGGAGGUUAAUUCCUUCUCUAAUCUGCAGCUAUUUUUGCAAAGGUGUUCAUUACUGGAGCAAACGAAGGCCUAAGACUGGAGAACGGCAGGUGCCGAGCCUCCUUUAGCAGGAGGGGAUUUCUGCUCCCGGCGUAGCCUCGCGGCCCAGCUCCCAGAUGCAGGGCUUGCGUGUGGUCACGCAGACAGCACCUCUGCGGCUCUCUGCUUUCAGUAAAAUGGUGAGGAGCUUAAUUUUCUGCCAAAGUGCCAUGGCAGCACUGCUCUGCCUGCUCACUAAAUACAUUGAGAGCCCUUCACUUGCAGCAGAGACUUAAACGAGCACUGGGAAGCGCGGUACUGAUGCUGAAUUUGGCUGCCGAGCUGGGGACCGGGCAGCGUUGGUGGAGCAGGGACCAAUUCUACACGGGGUUUUUCAGCCCAUCCCUCCUGCAAGAUGUGCUUCGCCUUUUGGCCAAAUGGAAGCGAACUUGAGAGCAAGAGCUAAAGCGGCGUUGAGAAGGAGAAAGCCUUGCCCAUCCCCUGGUUCCCUACCCUGUGGUAUAUCACUCAUGAAGGGUGGCUCCUCCCAAAUCGCAGGAAAGACUGGGUGUAAACAAGAAGCCAUUGCUUGUCAUAGAGAGAGCAGGUUUUAUUGUUAUGUUUCCUUCUCCUGAUUAUGGGAUUAGUCAUUUCGUGCUUCCACAAAUACAUCCAGCUUCUCUAGUAAGUGAUUUUUAACUGUGGCGCCCUGUGGAUAUUUGUUUCGUGUACUGUGGUCUUUUUGGUUCUUUAGAAGCUCCAGCUUUGGGGGAAAAUAGAAAAGGCAAUCGUGGAGCUGGCCGGAUACUGCUGACACAGCUUAAUUAGGGUUUAAAUUAAUUAAAUAUUUCUGAAAUGAGCAGGUAUUGACAGAAAUCUAUGUCUGUCCUAUAAACACGUAAAAAGGAAAAAAAAAAAAAAGGUACUUUUAGAUACAUUUUUCUUUGUUCUCUCUAGACAAUGCUGGUGGUAAACUGCACACAUGGGUAAAGCAUUUUGCACUUUCUGACAAUUUAUUUCUUCUUCGGAAGAAUUGGCGUGAUGAGAAAUGGCACAAACAGCUCAAGGAGCAUCGGCUCUUGCAAUCAGUAGCUGGUGAAAUUAGCAUAUUCCUUCUGCUUUGUUUGCACAGACAAUUACAAAUUAGAUCAAGAAAGUAUACUCCCAGAGGUGUGUUUGUGCUUUAUAAGAGAACAUUGGCAUGGGAAGGGGAAAAUGUAUUAGUACAAAGCGUUUUAGCCCCAUUUGUAGCUCGUACUGCUGGCUGCAAGCUACAAGUCUCGCACAAAUCCAAUAGAAAUGGAAAGGAAGAAAAAUGGGGGAGGAAAGGCAAAACAGGAGCAAACAAAGAGCUGUGUGAAUAGCUAAUUAGGAUUAAUUGCGUUCAGCCAUGCAGGAGGUGCUGGGAGGAUCCUGGGUGGAUUAUGGGGGCAGUGAGGGUGGAGGAACAGAGGUGCAUGCUGAGCAAGGUAGGAGCUCCCACCCACCAAAAUUGGGUCUUUGAGCGUUUCUGCAUAUAGAGGUUGCUUUUUCUGAGGGGUCUCUCCUCCUGGGACCUCCCUGUUUCAAGGACACCAAAAUGAGACAGCUUAUCAGAAAUCUUUGCAGAAGCUAACAGUGUGGAUUGGGUAGCUGAGAGCUUUCUGUACAGCAGCUUUCAGAAGGCAAAGGUAUUUCUAACUCCAGCAACAGCCCCGAGCAAAGGUGAGCUGCAGCCACCCCCGGCGUAGAUACUGAGGCUGCCUUUGGGCUGUGCCCCUCAUGUGCUUGUUCCAUCCUUACAUUUCUUUUGCCGGGGUUUGUUCCCAAUGUUGAUGGACUGCUAUUCUGAAAAGUGAUGUAUUAAAGGAGAAGAUAAUCACGUAGCGGGAUUUAAACCAUCAAAGAAGGGAGUCCACUUAAAAUGAUGAGUACAGCUAAAAACUCCCCAGACUUCAGAGUUUUGCGGCGUGCAGAUGAUAACGUACUGCAGGACAUCCUUCACUGGUUUGGUUGGAAAUGGAAGUUCCUCAUUUCUCCUUGCAGCCUUCUGUGGGAUUUGGUGCAUUUUUAAACUGCUGAUACAUUCAACAUCAAAGGCAUUUUGUGUUUGCGCAUGGGAAUAGCUGUCUUGUCAUAAUGAACGUGACCUUAAAGUUUGCCAUUAACUAAAAAAAGAAGGUUGUCUCAUAGCUGCACUCACAUUUUACGAAGAUGUUUCUCUCACCUUACACAGUGUUUAGGAAAAAAAAACAACUUCCAACUAGGAUCCAGGAGGGGCUGUGCGAGUCAGAGCACGGUUUGUUCGCUCCAUAUUCAAUCUCCCCUUGAGCCCAGCUCAGUCCAUCACUAAUCCAGCCGGAUUUGAGCUGAAGGCUGUGCUGUACCAAGAGAGAUGUGUAGUGGGGUGUGAUUCUGACGGUGUGAAAAACGUGAGAGAAACCGGCUGUUUCUAGCCCAGAACUGUAGCUGGGACUGAUGUUCCUCCUGCUCUUCUCUAAAGAGGUCCCAGGUGGCACACACCACUUGCCGUGGCAAAAAUUUGGGGCAGGGGUAGAGAGGGAAGCGUGGCUCCCAGGAGACGAUGCCUGACACAUCCGUGCACAUUAUCUGGACUAGGGAGCACGGUGGGGAUAACAAAACUAAUUUCACUUUUAGUUCUGCUGAAUGGGAUCUCCUCCCUGCUAAAAGACAGGUUUUCUAUGCCUUUGACACCUGUAGCCGCUUUCUGCACCCGUGGAAGGAAACUGAGGGUAAAAAUAUCCCUGUGAUGAUUUGGUAGUAUUUUACACCAACUGUGCUGUCACUUCGCACAGGCGGAAAAUGACUAGAUGAGGUAAGGAAAAUCAGUCUGUAAAUCCAUAAAAAUCGUGGGUUUUCUGCAUCUACUGAUUUCCCAUUGUCCAUAUUCAUUACCGGAGAGGAAAAUGGAUGAAUUAGUGCUUGGUUCCAGGCAGCUGUUCAUCUAACUUCCCCGCGCUGCACAUGCUGCGGGUGUUUAGGAUAUUUUCACUUGCAAAGAAAUAAAAAAUAGCCAGCUUCUGUUAUCUCUCCCCCUUUCCUGUGUAGUCUUCUGAGGCAAGGGAGCCCACUGCUGUGUUUUGUACUUUCCUGAAGCCUGGCUCUGAUUGUGGGGCUGCCUUUGAACAAAGAUUUCAUACCAAAGAGUGGCUUUCGCAGGGAUCCUUCCACUUCAUCUCCAAAUGGUUCCCAGCCCUCGGCUGCCAACCAUUGUGUUUGGGGGUACAUUUUCCAUUAAAAACAGCCUGGGAGUUGCUGAGCUCCACUUGCUACGUCGGUCCUGCCAGAGCACACACAAAAAUAGUCUCUGGAUUGACAACGGGAGAUUUUUGAACUCAGAAGAGCAGUGGGAAGGCUUUGAGCCCACUGUAGCAGCGUAGUAAAGGGACUCUGACUCGCAUCCGUCACUCACCGAGAGACAGAAAGGCUUGAUUUAUUUUAUCAGAACCCAUCUCUUUCAUUGUGUGCAUCCUCGAGGAUGUGGAAGGUUGAGGAUUCAGCAGCUUUUGACUGGGUUUUGACAGGCCAACUUGUGGCCUGGGGGAAGAAGGGGUUUGGAGGCGGGCUGGAGGUAUCCUGCUGCAGCGGGCGACCUGGAGCCAGAUCUCAGGUAAAAGCAAGCCAAGACCUCAGGAAUAAGCAAACCUGUGCUCGAGGACCUGCUGCAUGCUGGAAGGAGGCUGGAUGGCAGCAAAACAUGGUUUCAAAAAGAAACAUUAGUCCUGCUUCUUGCCCCUGAGAGCAGUGAGAUAAAGAGCUCUGCCAGCAGGGCCAGGCAGGGAGGGACAAGGGGUGAUCGUGGGCAGGAGUGUGAGGAGAGAGGGGCAGAUGCUUGAAUCUGCCUGGGUAACACACCUGAGCACUUUGGGCUACAGAUGGCACGUCAGAGAGGAAAGCUGUAUGGGUUAUUAAUAUGGUAGGUGGCUUUCUUGGGAAUGGGGCUUCUUUAGCUGCUACUCUUCUCCCCUUUUUGUGGCUCAACGCUGCCGAUUACAAGGGGAGCAGAGGAUUAUAAUAUAUAUUAGCUAUUUAGACACUGGAGAUAACUCACAAUGCUGAAAAACUGAACUUAUCUCUGAUUAAAAUUUAAUUGCUCCCAAGCUUCCACUAGUUACUUGCAUUAAGUUUCACACCAUCGGAAAGCGCUCAUCAGCCAGUGUUGGAUUUAACAGGAAUUUGGCAGAUGUUAGCGAAGUGCUGGAGGAGCUCCAAACCACAAGAUCUGCGGCGUGUAAUGUGUUUGAAAAUUUGUUGGCAGCCGAAAGAAAAAUCGAAAACCUGGAAAUAGCAAUAACUGGACGCAGAUCCCUUCUAAUCAAACAGCCAAAAUGUUGGACCGCCACCUCCAGCACCUGGAGCACCGGCACGGUUCGAGGAGUGUCGGGUGUCUUGUGAGGUGUCAAAGCAGCAGAUUUUAUAUUAUUGGCUUGCAGAGUGCUUUAUGGAAGGAACACUGGUAUCUCCAUGGAAAUCUUGAAGAAGAAGAAAAAAAAAAUCUGUUCCAAGGCAAUUUAACAAAUUAGUUAUGUUUUAUAAAUCUUAGGUUUUCAUUACAGCUUUUCCCUCCUCUUGAGGACAUUUAUUCAGAAACAGGGUCCUUGUUCGGUAAGAGACUAAUUUAUUUCUGUUAUGUAUUCCCUUCCUAUCAAACCCUGCCUGUGGCAUUGUAACUUUAGCAUCAACUAGCUUUUUUUUUUAUUAUUUUUUUUUAACUAGAACGUGCUCCUGGUACAAGGAGAGGACAAACACGAGUAGCAAACAAGGUUGGAGAAACCUUGAUCCAUUUUUUAUAAGUAUAUCCAGAGGAAUGACAAAAAAAAAAAAGUGCUUACCUCCACGUGGGUGCGUGGUGUUUUGAUAGCCUCGCUAACGGCAGCACAGAAGCCAGGCGAGGCUGCAGAGGCUGAGGAUGCCUCUUUUAGACAAACGGGAGCUGAAUUAAAAUCGAGGAUGGUACAAGUCCUUUUCAGAGAGA